rnacentral:lncRNA from 10 species
UCCAUGUUGGUCAGGCUGGUCGCGAACUCCCGACCUCAGGUGAUCCAUCCACCUCGACCUCCCAACGUGUUGGGAUUACAGGCGUGAGGCACCGUGCUUGGCCGGGUUGCACCUUCAAUUGCUCAUGCUAGUCACUAAUGUUGGUAGCUUUUUUGUAAGAACUAAUAGACAUCUUUCAGGAAUUGACCAGUUCAGUAGUUACUCUUUAAGAGCAAGAGAGAUCAGAUCCAGAAAAAUGCAGAAAUACAUCCUACCCUCUUCUCAGAGUUUGGCUAAAAUCUCAGUUUGGCUAAAUCUUCUGACAGUACAUGAUAUAUUUAUUUGCAGAUCUGUCUCCCAGCUAGCCUGGGCAUUAGUGAAGGGAAAUGCCCCUAUUUUGGCACAUUUCCAUAUCACAUACAGGGGCUCAAUUAAUAGCAGUUGAAUGGAAUGGAUAUCUGUAGUGUAUUAUACAUAGCUAAUAUUGUUAAAGUUGGAUAUUUUCUCAUAUUUGAUAUUCUAUAAUUUUCCCCUUUGGUCUGGUAAACCCAGUCAUAAACAGACUCAAUUAUUUGUUGACAGUGUGUUUUCCUAAUUAAGCCCCAUAUAAUUAUGUGGCUUAAAUGUAACUCUCUGUAAUCAAGAAGCUGGCCCAUAUGGACCUAAUAUUUGCACAAGGCAUGAAUAAGGUCCAAACACACACUAGGAAAGAAAUAAUGCUAUCCACGGCCACUCUGCUGAUGACCUGUCCAUCCUUCCAAGUCACGUAUGCUGUUUGUUGCCUCCUCUUGGAAAGCUUUUCCCUCCCCACAUCAUGUCCAUCCAUUUCCUUCACCACAUUACCUCAUCAUCGUCCUUAGGAUUUCAGCUUAUACUUCACUCCCUCAGGAAAGAUUUCCCAGACAGCCUGUGAUACUGCCAGAGCCAAUACUUCUCCUUAACAGCAAUCAUUAUAACUGAUAAACUAACAUUUUCCAUUAAUUUUAUGAUUAUUUCAUUACUGUCUUCUGUUUCUGAUUGUAAAAUCCACAUAUGAACAUAAUAUGUGUGCAUUUUUUUGUUCAUGAUUAUGUUUCUAUCACAAUGUGUCUUGUUUAUGUGUCUGUGUAUAUACACACACACACAUAUAUAUUCACACACACGAGACACAAACGUACAUGCCCUCACAUAAGACACUUUGCUCCAUAAUCUGUACAUAUGAAUGAAUAGGUGGUGCUCAGUAAAUAUUUUGAAUGAAUGAAUUCUGCAAAUUUUACCCACGAAUCAUAAAGGAAGAGUUGAGAGCAGGGCUGGGUCAUUCCAAUGAUACAUAAGCAGAGAAACUUUUCAACUUACCACUUAUCCUGUUGUCUUACCACCCCUAGGAGACAUCAGUUGUGUUUCUGUAACAACAGCACCCCAAACAGUGCUUGUACGGGCCAUAUUGCCAAUCUGUACCUGCAAGGAACAAGGAGUAUAUUGUGUAGCUCAUCAAGAGGAAAAGGACAUUAUAUGUAAAACAAAUAUAAGAAGACUCUGAAAGUUGGAGAAAAGACGUUAGACCAUCUGGAGACCUUGGGAUCUGAGGAACAACAUAGCAUGUCAGUGAAGACCACAUGGGGACAUGGAAGCAGUGACAAGACCCCUCUACCCUCUCUCAGCAGUAAGAGGAGCCCCUCCCCAUCCCAGGUGUCAACAGAGGCUGAGUGGGAACCUGGACUUCUACCCCCACCUGGUAGUAACAAGACAGGCUCCACCCCUUUCUUUGCCAGAGUGGUGUUGGAAGAAGCCAAUAAAAACAAAAGGUGUAAAUGAGACUGAGCGUCUCAUAACGUGAUAUCCAAAAUGUCUAGCUUUCCAUCGAAGAUCAUAUCAAGAGCCAGGAAAAUCUCAACUUGAAUGGAAAAAGACAAUCAAUAGAUCCCAACAUCAAAAUGACAGAGAUGGCAGAAUUAUCUGACAAAUAUUUUAAAGACAGCCAUUAUAUAAAUGUUUGAAAUAAACUAUUACAAACAUACUUGAAACAAACAAAAAAUAGAAAGUCUCAGCAGAAGUAUAGAAGAUAUAAAGAAGAACCAGAUAAAAAUUUUAGAACCGAAAAAUACAAAAGCCGAAACAAAAGACAACAGCAGAAUAAACGAGACAGGAAGAAAAUCAAUGAACUUGAAGAUAGAGCAGCAGAAAUUAAGCAAUAUGAAUAACAGAGAGAAAAUAGACUAAAAAAAUGAAAAGAACCUCAGGGACUUAGGAAACUAUAACAAAAGAUCUAACAUUCCUGUCACUGGAGUCUUGCAAGGAGAGAAGAAAAAGGGCGGGGCUAAGAAAAGGACACAAAGAAAUCAUAGCUAAAAGCUUCCAAAAAAAGUGAUGUAAUCUUAUUGGCAAUUAAGAAUUCAAAUUGAAUAAUAAAAUGACAUUUUUAUCCUUUGCUUCUCUAAUUGGCAAAAAAUAUUUAUGAUUGAUGACAUUGCAUAUUAGUAGGUAUAUGAGAAAUGAGGAUUCUUACAGUUAGUGACAGUUUAAAUUGAUGAUAUGUUUUUCAUUAAGUUUUUCUGAAUUGUCUAUUGCUAUCAAAAUUGUAAAUGUGCACAUUCCCUGAUGCUGAAAUUACACUUCCAGAAAUAAAUCUAUCCCAUGAAAUAGCCACAUAUGUUCAGAAAUCAUAUAAACUAUAUAAAGAAUAUUUAUUGCAAUAUCAUGUGUAAUCAUGGAAAAUUACAAAUAAAAACAUCCAUUAAAACAGAAAUAGUUAAUGAAUUGUGACUUAUUUGUACUAUAGAUGUGACAGAGUUGUUUAAUAAAUGUAUGAGAUUGACUUACACAAUUUGAUAUGGAAAUAACUCUAAGUUUUAAAAUGCUAGUAAAGGAACACUAUGUAUAAUAUGGUCCCAAACACAAGUACACCAAGAAAGGUGUAUGUUUGUGAAUACAAUGCAUAGAAAGUGGACAUAGAGAUAAGACAUUUUAAGAGUAUCCCCAGCUCCAAGCUGUGUUUGCUUGAGCCUUUGAAUAAACUGAAAAAAACAGAAAAUGUCACUGUUAAAGAAUGGUGUGGAAGGACUGAUAGAGAUUAUGAGGUGAUCAAAAUCUCCCUAAAGCAAAGGUUGACAGUUAAUUGAGUUUGACAGAGGUGGGUGACAAAGGGAAAUGUUCACACUUCGUUCUCCACUCUUUUAUGUCUUUGGCUCAUGUCCA